CCCUUAGAUGUCCUGGGCCGCACGCGCGCUACACUGAGUGUCUGAGAUACGAGUCUGCCUGGUCCGGCAAGGUCUAGGUAGUCGCUAAAAGACACAUCAUGCUUGGGAUAGAUUAUUGCAAAUAUUAAUCUUGAACGAGGAAUUCCUAGUAAGCGCAAGUCAACAGCUUGCGUUGAUUACGUCCCUGCCCUUUGUACACACCGCCCGUCGCUACUACUGAUUGGAUGUUUAAGCGAGGUUCUCGAACUGCUAGCGACUUAGCUUCGGUGAGGUCGCAGUGUGGGAAGUGAACCUAGCUUUGGUGUCUAGAGGAAGUAAAAGUCGUAACA
rnacentral:rRNA from 1 species